CCUACGGGAGGCAGCAGUAAGGAAUAUUGGACAAUGGGCGAAAGCCUGAUCCAGCCAUCCCGCGUGGAGGAUGACUGCCCUACGGGUUGUAAACUCCUUUUAAUCAGGACGAAACCCCAAGAUUUAUCUUGGGCUGACGGUACUUUUUGAAUAAGCACCGGCUAAUUCCGUGCCAGCAGCCGCGGUAAUACGGAAGGUGCAAGCGUUAUCCGGAAUCACUGGGUUUAAAGGGUGCGUAGGCGGCGUAAUAAGUCAGAGGUGAAAGCUCACAGCUUAACUGUGGAACUGCCUUUGAUACUGUUAUGCUUGAAUUAGGUUGAGGUUGGCGGAAUGUGACAUGUAGCGGUGAAAUGCAUAGAUAUGUCAUAGAACAUCGAUUGCGAAGGCAGCUGGCUAGACCUUAAUUGACGCUGAGGCACGAAAGCGUGGGGAGCGAACAG
rnacentral:rRNA from 1 species